GGUCCCAUCGUCUAGGAGGCCUAGGACGCUGGCCUGUCACGCCUGAAACGCGGGUUCGAAUCCCGCUGGGACCGCCA
rnacentral:tRNA from 1 species